UACGAAGGGGGCUAGCGUUGUUCGGAAUUACUGGGCGUAAAGCGCACGUAGGCGGAUAUUUAAGUCGGGGGUGAAAUCCCGGGGCUCAACCCCGGAACUGCCUUCGAUACUGGGUAUCUUGAGUUCGGAAGAGGUGAGUGGAAUUGCGAGUGUAGAGGUGAAAUUCGUAGAUAUUCGCAGGAACACCAGUGGCGAAGGCGGCUCACUGGUCUGAUACUGACGCUGAGGUGCGAAAGCGUGGGGAGCAAACAGG
rnacentral:rRNA from 1 species